rnacentral:rRNA from 1 species
GACGUAGGGGCCAAGCGUUGUUCGGAUUUACUGGGCGUAAAGGGCGCGUAGGCGGCGAAUCAAGUCAGCUGUGAAAUCUCCGAGCUUAACUCGGAACGGUCAGCUGAUACUGUUUUGCUAGAGUGCAGAAAGGGCAACCGGAAUUCUUGGUGUAGCGGUGAAAUGCGUAGAUAUCAAGAGGAACACCUGAGGCGAAGGCGGGUUGCUAGGCUGACACUGACGCUGAAGCACGAAAGCUAGGGUAGCAAACGGG